AGAGGGUGGAGGGGAUGUGCCCAGGAAACCCACCUUCCCCUCGAAUGUGCCCGCCAGCUCACACCUACGGGGAGUCAGCUUGCGUUGCCUGUUCAUCAGAAGAAAAGAAGAUGAACUGUGAAGGGAACCAGGCUGAGGAGCAGUCUCGAGGGCACGCAGGACCUCACCACAGGGCCUCUGUGUGCCACCUUCGACAGCGGACACAGGACCUGCACAGAAAGCCUUGGCCCCUUGCGGGCUCGGAAAUGACCACCCAGAAAAGUCUCAGGAAACGUUGUCAUUGCAAAGUCGUGGUGUUUGAUAUUUCAUCUGUUUAUUUGUAGUGAUUAAAAAUAAAAC
rnacentral:lncRNA from 1 species